rnacentral:rRNA from 1 species
GAUGAACGCUGGCGGCGUGCCUAAUACAUGCAAGUCGAGCGAACAGACGAGGAGCUUGCUCCUCUGACGUUAGCGGCGGACGGGUGAGUAACACGUGGAUAACCUACCUAUAAGACUGGGAUAACUUCGGGAAACCGGAGCUAAUACCGGAUAAUAUAUUGAACCGCAUGGUUCAAUAGUGAAAGACGGUUUUGCUGUCACUUAUAGAUGGAUCCGCGCCGCAUUAGCUAGUUGGGAAGGUAACGGCUUAUCAAGGCAACGAUGCGUAGCCGACCUGAGAGGGUGAUCGGCCACACUGGAACUGAGCCACGGUCCAGACUCCUACGGGAGGCAGCAGUAGGGAAUCUUCCGCAAUGGGCGAAAGCCUGACGGAGCAACGCCGCGUGAGUGAUGAAGGUCUUCGGAUCGUAAAACUCUGUUAUUAGGGAAGAACAAAUGUGUAAGUAACUAUGCACGUCUUGACGGUACCUAAUCAGAAAGCCACGGCUAACUACGUG